UAUAUAUUAUUACUUAUGUUUUAACAUAUUCAGUUUUCAUAAUUAUUCGUUUACGAUAUUUAUAAUUUGAACUGCUGACUCCGCAGCUCCAGAAACUUGACACCUAGCCACUAUAUUAUCAUUAAUCAUUAUCAUUGCCAUUAGUUCCAUUCAAUAGGCCGAAGCCAUUAAGGGAACCAAAGGAAAAGAAAUUGAAAACGUGGCUUGUAUGCAUGUGUAUAUAUAUAUAACCAAUGACACCUAAUGAUGCUUUAACCACCACAAAUUUUCAUUCAUUACUAUUAUCCCCUAAUCAUCUCCCUUUUCCCUUCAUUCACCACUGAGUUAGAGCUUGAAAAAAAAGAGAGAAACUGAGAGUGCUCUUAUAUGAACCGUGACCUCCCAUCAAUUUUUGGCUCCGAUUUCUUGUGAUCCGUAACUUCAAUAAAAAAAAAUUUAAUCUGAUAAAAAUGUUCGUAUCUUCUUCCUCUACACGUUGAUGUCAUUUUUGUUCGGUAAAAUUUGAUGGUGACGUAGCUCCCUUUCCCUUUGAAUUUGGCUAAUUGGAGUUCUAGGAGGCAUAAACGAUUUCUGACGUUUUCUUCUUCAGCAGUUCGGUCAAAAAGCUUCUCCGGAGUUUCUGUUGUUUUGAUUUUGUACGUGUAAAACUCGCAAAAUUAAUAAAUAAUUAUCCAAUAAAUUAAUUAUUAUUUAAAGAAAUUAGAAACUUAAAUUUUAUAGUUUAAUGAGGUAGAAAUAAUUAAAAUACAAAAUUUGACACUAAUUUUAAAGAAUUUAGUCCAAAAUUAGACCGAAUAGGCCAAACCGAUUAAACCGGAUCCAAACCAAACCCAAGGCCCAACCCAACAUCACAUUAGUGAAUGGCUUCAGCCACUCCCUCCCCCCACAUUAUGAGUUUCACGCUAGAAACAUAAAGGGAGAAGGGGAAGAACUUCAAACCCUAACCCCAAGUUUCAUCCCAUCAUAUCUUUCAAUCCGAAGUUCCGAUAGUCGCACCGUUUGUGAUCACGCGACCACCGCAUCGAGCUCUACAAAACUCGCUAACCAAUUUGGUAAAAAAUCUAUUUUUUUAUCCAAACUUCCUCUCUUUAUUUUCGAAAUUCAUAGGUUUUGGAAUUGAAAUUUGUGAUGUUUUGCCAUUUUAGGAUCAAACUAGCUUGAGGAGAUUAUUGGGUUUUGGUCCCAUAAUACUUGAGAAAGAUUGAAUUAUGUUGGUAUAAAGUCCAAUUGGUGGUUGAACUUGUGGAAUUUGAACCUUGGGAGCUGAAUCUUAUGAUUGGAGAGGAGUUGGAGCCUUGGACGGUGGUGGAACAGAGAUAAUUGAGGUGUUUUGGGAUUUAUGAGGAAUCGACCAAGGUCGAGAUGCACCUCGGUGAGCGUCUGGAGCUUCUUGUGGCAAGCGGAGUUGGUCCUUUCGGGGAUUUAUAUCUUGUAUUAGGCCAUGUUUAUAUAUAUGUACUUAGACUCUCCUUUUAUGUAUUUUGGAUAUAUGUAUAUAUGUAUAUGCAUUUAUAUUCCGGUCGGCCUUGCCUCCGCAGGUCGAGCCCGGAGCUUGCUAUUCUGUAUUUUGGUAUUCUAUCCUUUAUAUAUUUCAUGUCUUAUCCUUAUCUGUUUUCCAGUUUUACA